rnacentral:rRNA from 1 species
CACUGGAACCACAGUUCACUGUGUUCGAUGAACGCUGGCGGCAGGCCUAACACAUGCAAGUCGAACGGUAACAGGAAGCAGCUUGCUGCUUUGCUGACGAGUGGCGGACGGGUGAGUAAUGUCUGGGAAACUGCCUGAUGGAGGGGGAUAACUAC